GUCUGAGGUGCUCCGCGUUCUCUGGGUAGUCGAAUACAACCUGCUGUCUCUAUGCAAAGGAGCCAACGUGCCUGUGUGUGUCUCCCAUCUCCAUCAGUCCACUUGGAAUGGGAAGUGAAGAGAAGAAGAAUGAAGCAACCCUGGCAAUCAAUCUUUUUUUCCAGGACCUUUGCUGUUGAUGAUCAACACAGAAAUUGACAAUUGGUCAAUGUGCAGAGGACAAAGAAGAUUGGGGAUUCUCAGCCCUACUUGGAGCAUCUAUAUAACAUUCCUUCCUGGAAGAAGAGGUGGGGAAAGAUUGUAAAAGCCAGAGGCCCUCGAUGACUACAACGAAGCAACAUUUCCUGGAUACAGCAGGGCAUUUACACAUGUGACCUUAUGGAACAGUGGUUAUCCACUUCCCUAGUGCUGCAACCCUUCACUCUAGUUCCUCAUGUUGUGGUGGCCCCAAAUAUAACAUUAUUUUUGUUGCUACUUCAUUAUUGUAAUUUUGCUACUGUUAGGAAUCAUAAUAUAAAUAUCUGUGUUUUCCAGUGAUCUUAAGCAGUCUCUGUGAAAGGGUCGUUUGAACUCCAAGGGAUCACACCCCACAGGUUGAACAUCACUGUGAUAAAUAUUUUAAAAGUAUGCAUCAGACUUGUACAAUCUCAAUCCGGACAAGAUUUCAAGAAGGCAGGGGAGGUGGGCAGGAUAUCCAACCCCUCUUUGAGAAGCUAUUGAUAAUUGAUAGUAUCUGGGAGAAGGAUAGUCAGUGUUCUGUAAAGGUGUGGCCUUUGGGAAGUCUCCAAUGAACACUCACACAUGCUAGGACAUAGGGAAAGACAAAUUGGACUUAAUGAUUUUUGUCGUUGCUGUUUUAAAAUUUUUAAAGAAUAUACAAGGUUGGGUAAAUAAAAACGAGGGUAUGGGGAAGCAGGGCAGGAGGGUAUAUGGGGGCUUUGAGGAUAGCAUUUGAAAUGUAAAUGAAGAAAAUAUCUAAGAAAAACCGAGGGUAUGAAUUGGGAAGGAGUUAGAGGAGGGAGGAAAUAUGAUAAACUACACUAGAAAAUUCUCAAAGAACUAAUUUUUUAACUUCAAUGUUAAAAUAGUUAUUUCUAAAACAUAAUUAAAGACCAUUUUUUUAAUG
ensembl:antisense Gm43477 predicted gene 43477